CUCCCGGUGGCCAAGCUGGUUAAGGCGCGAGACUGUAAUGAGUUACCUCAGAGUUAUCUUGAGAUCGGGCGUUCGACUCGCCCCCGGGAGA
rnacentral:tRNA from 1 species